rnacentral:tRNA from 1 species
UACAUUUUGGUGUAUGAUGCACGUGAAUUUUUGAUAUUUGAGGGAAUAGUUUAAUUCUGUUGGAUGUAA